UAGGGAAUCUUCCGCAAUGGACGCAAGUCUGACGGAGCAACGCCGCGUGAGUGAAGAAGGAUUUCGGUUCGUAAAACUCUGUUGUUAGAGAAGAACAGCGCAUAGAGUAACUGUUAUGCGUGUGACGGUAUCUAACCAGAAAGCCACGGCUAACUACGUGCCAGCAGCCGCGGUAAUACGUAGGUCCCGAGCGUUGUCCGGAUUUAUUGGGCGUAAAGCGAGCGCAGGCGGUUAGAUAAGUCUGAAGUUAAAGGCAGUGGCUCAACCAUUGUAGGCUGUGGAAACUGUGUAACUUGAGUGCAGAAGGGGAGAGUGGAAUUCCAUGUGUAGCGGUGAAAUGCGUAGAUAUAUGGAGGAACACCGGUGGCGAAAGCGGCUCUCUGGUCUGUAACUGACGCUGAGGCUCGAAAGCGUGGGGAGCGAACAGG
rnacentral:rRNA from 1 species